AUGUCAUUUUUUUAUCCCAAAAAAUAUUUUUUAAAAGUUAAAAAAAUAGACAUAUCAAACAUGCAAAUACUUGAAUCCAGCAGGCCAAUAACGAAAUGUGAACACUUUCUACGUCGAAUUCUCCACUUCCAGGUUGACACCAGUACGCAGAGACAGGCUCUAGGAAACAUUUCUAAGUUCACAGCCUCUGUGUGUGCGUGUGUGUGCGUGUGCGCGCGUGCGUGUGCGUGCGUGUGCGUGUGUGGGAACCGAAGCGCGUGUGCGUAUGCAGGUGUGUGCGCGUUUUCUGUGUCCGUGUGUUAAGUGUGUGAGAGAUUUAACUGUGGAUUUUCCCUUUUAUUCAGUAUGUGCUCUUUUUUUUCUUUUUCUUUUUCUUUUUUUUUUUUUGGCGCAUUGGUCAAAGGUUUGUUAUUAUUAUUAGCUUCUAACUUUGCACUGAGUGUCCCUGCCCUUCCUUUAGCUAAUCCUAUACAUUAAAGAGAAUUCUUAGGACAGGGCCGGUGACAAUUCAUGUGUAAAUGUUUACUCAAGGACUCUGUUAUUGCGUUUAAAAAUUACAGUGUAUAUCUCUGGAGAAAUAAUAUGUAUACCUACCUUUAGCAGCUUUUUAUUGUGGACUAAUGCAAGAAAAUUAUUACCAGAGUAUUGCACCAUUUUUGCCAUUUGGAAUAUAAAGUUAAAGAGAAAAAAAACUCUUGUUGAACUGUGGCCAUAGAUACUUGUGGAGGAUGGAUGGUUCCUCGGGAGGAACGGGAACAAGCACUUGGACGUGGGUUGUGACUGCUUUCGGAGGAGCCCGUGGUGAGGGCUCCCACCUGUUUACAGACCUUUUUUUCUCCUUCAGACUUUAAAAUUAAAAAAAAAAAAAAUUAAAAAAGGAAUUAAAAAAAAAAAAAGACUUCCGUCGUAAAGAAAGCUAUUUUCAGAAGCAGGUCCGCUCCUUCAGAGCUCUGGGAUUGAGCAGUGUUGUUUUCCCUCCGGCCAUCGUCGUGGACUCUGUCCACUGUCCCUUCAUCGAGGGGACGAGUGGUGGUCACUGUCUUGCACACGCGGAUGCGCUCUCAGGAAAGCCAGGGUUCCCGAGGGGCAGCUCCACACCAUUUCAUGUAUUUUGUAACCCAACUUCUAGCACUGAAGAUGUUAUUAAAAAAACAAGCAAACAAAAAACAAAGAAAAAAAAAAGAAAAAAAGAGGAAAAAAAAAAACCACAAAGAAGAAAGAUACCUAAUCUCUAACGUGUAGCAGUUAACGUAUGUACCAAAUAACGGACUCAAAGGAAAUAGAUGUUCGAAGAGUGCUUUAUAUAUUAAAAAUUGCUUUAUGUUUUAAAAAUGAUCAAUGUUUUGAUUGUUUUUGCAAGAAAGACAGACAAUGGAGUAACAUACCCUCAAGUAUGUUUAAAAAUAUAUAUAUAUGAACAUUGUGCUCCCUGCCUGCUUGAUCAGGAAACUUGUGCAUUACAUUUUUUUUAAUUAGCUUUUUAAUGGUUUUAUCAAAACAAAACAAGAAAAAAAAAAACAAAAAAACAAAAAAAAAGAAAAGGAAAAAAAAAGUUCCUGCAAAAUUGCAGAUCCACAAAAGCUGGUUUUAUAGAGGAUCAUGAACUAUGCACAAACUGGUUCCAGACUUUUUUCUCAAGUUCGGUAGUGUAUUUAGCUAAACAGACCUUCCUCAGAGUAACUGCAUCUCAUUGCCUAUUCACGCACUCUGUAUAUUUGGUGUCCACGUCUCUGCAAACGUACAUCAAAUAUAGGUGCGUGCGUGUGUGCGUGCACCCAGCUUCCCAAGCUGCAUUUAGCAUCGAGUUGUAGAAAACUCCUGAUAUUUUUAAAUUGGGGAUGGAAGUAAAGAAUCUGUUUGUUUGUUUCUGUUUUUUUUUGUUGUUGUUGUUGUUGGGGUUUUGUUUUGUUUUGACAUUUUAUUUUGAAUUAAAGACGUCUGUAACUCUGAGAUUAAAAACCGAGUUUGUGGCUUUUAAUGUUUUUCCUCAUAGAAUGUGAUUGUUGAAGAAAAUGCACCGACAGUUGCUUUCAAAAGUACAACGCUUUGUUGAAUCUUAAUAAAUUGCAAUUUUUUUCUUGGCUGUUCGAAUACCUGUGUUUUUUAUUUUUCAAAGACAGAUGUCAUCCAUAUUCACUUUGCAUGUGUUGGGAGCGAGACUUGUCCUUCUGUGUGUAAGAAAUUCCCUGUCUUUUUGUGUUAGCCUCAGAGUUUGCAUUUAUAAUUAAAUAAACUCCAAGUUUCCGUU